ACACCGACUAAGAUCAAAGAAACU
rnacentral:sRNA from 1 species